rnacentral:RNase_P_RNA from 1 species
CAAGCAGGCUAUCUUAUCGCUGUUCGUCUUUUGGACGAAGAGAGGAAAGUCCGGACACCAUAGAGCAGUAUAGCGGGUAACGCCCGUCCUUUCUUCGGAAAGCGGACCAGUGCAACAGAAAGCAAGUACAGUUCGGCUGUAGUGAAAUCGGUAAACUCUAUACGGUGAAACGCCAAGUAAAUCUGUAUUUUUGGGUGGCUCGCCCAACGCAGAAGGGUAGGCGGAUGGAGGCGUUCAGUAAUGUGCGUCCUAGAUAAAUGAUAAGACCCGACAGAAUCCGGCUUAUCGGCCUGCUUUUUUU